rnacentral:rRNA from 1 species
AGUGAACGCUGGCGGUAGGCCUAACACAUGCAAGUCGAACGGCAGCACAGGAGAGCUUGCUCUCUGGGUGGCGAGUGGCGGACGGGUGAGGAAUACAUCGGAAUCUACUCUGUCGUGGGGGAUAACGUAGGGAAACUUACGCUAAUACCGCAUACGACCUACGGGUGAAAGCAGGGGACCUUCGGGCCUUGCGCGAUUGAAUGAGCCGAUGUCGGAUUAGCUAGUUGGCGGGGUAAAGGCCCACCAAGGCGACGAUCCGUAGCUGGUCUGAGGGGAUGCUCAGCCACACUGGAACUGAGAAACGGUCCAGACUCCUACGGGAGGCAGCAGUGGGGAAUAUUGGACAAUGGGCGCAAGCCUGAUCCAGCCAUACCGCGUGGGUGAAGAAGGCCUUCGGGUUGUAAAGCCCUUUUGUUGGGAAAGGAAUCCAGCUGGCUAAUACCCGGUUGGGAUGACGGUACCCAAAGAAUAAGCACCGGCUAACUUCGUGCCAGCCGCCGCGGUAA